UUUGAUUGUGUUCUUAUAAACUUUUUGCGGUUUUUUAGGAUUUUUGUUUCAGUUAUAUAUUAGAUUUAAUUAUAUAAUUUAUUUUUUCAUAGUCACCAACAUGAUGAUUUCAUGACCAUGUUUUAAAACAUGAUUUUUCUUAAAAGAAUCAAAUUAAGGGAACCCGAUUAAACUGAACUGAAACACAAACCAUGUCGAAUACAAAUCAGACUGAAACUUAUGGUUUACUUAAGUUUAAAAAAUUCUAGAAUAAAUUAACCAAACCGAACCGAACCUACAAAAUAAUCGAAGUGCCCACCCCUAGUUGUGUUUGUUUGGUUCUUUCUACUUAUUUGGUUGAUUUGACUGACUAUCAGUUAGAUAUGUAUUAUUUCUUUUGAAAACUGGCAUUCAAUUGGUUACUGUGACUAUCAGUUGGUUAUGUCUUAUUGUUGAAG
rnacentral:lncRNA from 1 species